rnacentral:RNase_P_RNA from 1 species
UGAGUCGGCUAACGGGAGCCGCGGCGCAGCGAACCGGCAGAGUCUUCUGCUAGGCGCACACGUCGAGGAAAGUCCGGACUCCACAGAGCACGGUGGUUGCUAACGGCAACCCGGGGUGACCCGAGGGCACGUGCAACAGAGAGGAGACCGCCACGCCGCUCGGCGUGGUAAGGGUGAAAGGGUGCGGUAAGAGCGCACCGGCGGGCCAGGUGACUGGCCCGGCCAGGUAAACCCCACCGGGAGCAAGGCACCGAGGUCGCACCACUGGUGCGCCGGGAGCAGGCGUUUUCAGGGCUGCUCGCCCGAUGUCUGCAGGUAGCUGCUCGAGGCGGCCGGCGACGGCCGACCCAGAUGGAUGGUUCCCGCCGCCCGGUUCGACCGGGCGGACAGAAUCCGGCUUAGCGGCCGACUCAUUCG